GCCUCGGCGGAUCAGCCCGCUCCCGGUAAAACGGGACGGCCCGCCAGAGGACCCCUAAACUCUGUUUCUAUAUGUAACUUCUGAGUAAAACCAUAAAUAAAUCAAAACUUUCAACAACGGAUCUCUUGGUUCUGGCAUCGAUGAAGAACGCAGCAAAAUGCGAUAAGUAAUGUGAAUUGCAGAAUUCAGUGAAUCAUCGAAUCUUUGAACGCACAUUGCGCCCGCCAGUAUUCUGGCGGGCAUGCCUGUUCGAGCGUCAUUUCAACCCUCAAGCACAGCUUGGUGUUGGGACUCGCGUUAAUUCGCGUUCCUCAAAUUGAUUGGCGGUCACGUCGAGCUUCCAUAGCGUAGUAGUAAAACCCUCGUUACUGGUAAUCGUCGCGGCCACGCCGUUAAACCCCAACUUCUGAAUGUUGACCUCGGAUCAGGUAGGAAUACCCGCUGAACUUAAGCAUAUCAAUAAG
rnacentral:rRNA from 1 species